rnacentral:lncRNA from 1 species
UCCAUCAAGAUACUAUAUAGAAGAUACAUUUCAAAAUAUUAUAAACAUGUGUAGCAAGCUAAUGAGGUGUCACAUUUUUUCAGCUCAAACUUUGACCUCAGAAAUUCGAAAACCAAUUCAUUCCUGAUAACUGCAUAACUCAUAAUCAGUGUUUCCCAGUAUGUUAGAGUAGAAAGGUUCCCAUUCUGUCUAGACCAUUCUUUAGGCACACUUUCCACAAUUAUGUUCGCGACGAAAUGUUACAUUGCAAAAUAUGCACUAAUGACUCAUUGUGGAAAUUGCAGGCAUGUUAUUAUGAACAGGAAAAGCAUACAGUUCAGUGACUUGCUAGUUGCCUCUACUACAUCCUCAUCUUUGUGACCAUUCAUCCCUCAUUUGGCCAGACAUGUUAAGACAGUCCAGACUUUGUUUGGAUGGCAACAGAAGCAUUCAGUUAGAUGUAACAAAGUGUAGCAAUCACACCUCGAAUAAUUCAUUAUGUUUAGAAAGAUUCUCCCUAUUUCUGUCAUUUUAUUUUUCUCAAUUAGGUUCACACUGAAAGGAACAUUACAUUGCAAACUACGUACAGUACUAAAUAUGUAGUGAGGCCGGUUUCAAGUUCCGCCUCAUGAAGCAACAAUUAUUUGAGAGAGAUUCCGCGGUGCAAUUUUCUAGUGAUUUGGGGGAGUACUAACGGAUCAGAUCAGCCAUUCAUUCAUAGGAUUUCUAGGUAUUUUACAUUGACGAAUUUUGAAAUAAUCUUGUUUGCCUCAUUUUCCCAACCUGCUCCUGAUGUUUCUUUUCUCUUGAAACUAACCUGAUCUUUCUGCUACCUGAAAUUGUCUCACAGUGGUACUCCACGCAGCAUCAUACUUCAUCUGAAAUCCUUUACGGCAUGUUAAUGAAACCAAAUAUUAUUCAAUGGUUUGAAAAGCUGAAGGGAAAAUAAAUGUGGAAAACAAGUAAAGCUCCAGAAAUUUUAAUCUCCAAACUAAACAAACUGAGCAGGACAGCCUUCAUAAGCCUGUGUUAAUGCUUUUCAUAGUUGACACAAAGUAUAAAAAUGAAUCAAGCUGCAUGUCAUCCACAGCCCAAAUAAGCAUAUGGGGUCUCCAAACAGAAAAAGAAAGCAAUCAUGUUUGACUCAUUUUUCUAACCUACUCCUGAUUUUUCUUUUCACUUGAAACUAACCUGAUCUUUCUACUGCCUGAAACUGUCUCCAAGUGGUACUCCACACAGCAUACUACUUCAUCUGAAACCAUUUAUAGCACGUUAGUUGAUUGUAACUUUAACGAAACCAAAUAUUAUUCACUGUACAACUCCAGACAUUUUAAUCUCCAAACUAGACAAACUGACCAGGAUAGCCUUCAUAAGCUUAUUAAUGUUGUUCCAUGGUUGACACAAAGUAUACAAAUUUAUCAAGCUGCAUGUCCACACACAAGACCUCCCAAGGUGAGCUCUGUCGAGGCGG